GGGUCAGCAGUUCACCCAGGCGUCACCGGUCCGCAAGGACAGCUAAACCUGCCA
rfam:Rhodobacter sp. SW2 ctg00051, whole genome shotgun sequence.